GAUGAACGCUGGCGGCGUGCCUAAUACAUGCAAGUCGAGCGAAUGACGAGGAGCUUGCUCCUCUGAUUUAGCGGCGGACGGGUGAGUAACACGUGGGUAACCUGCCUGUAAGACGGGGAUAACUCCGGGAAACCGGAGCUAAUACCGGAUGAUAACGAGAAGCGCCUGCUUCUUUUUUGAAAGUCGGUUUCGGCUGACGCUUACAGAUGGGCCCGCGGCGCAUUAGCUAGCUGGUGAGGUAACGGCUCACCAAGGCGACGAUGCGUAGCCGACCGGGGAGGGUGAUCGGCCACACUGGGACUGGGACACGGCCCAGACUCCUACGGGAGGCAGCAGUAGGGAAUGUUCGGCAAUGGACGAAAGUCUGACCGAGCAACGCCGCGUGAGCGAUGAAGGCCUUCGGGUCGUAAAGCUCUGUUGUCAGAGAAGAACAAGUACCGGAGUAACUGCCGGUACCUUGACGGUACUUGACCAGAAAGCCACGGCUAACUACGUGCCAGCCGCCGCCGUAA
rnacentral:rRNA from 1 species